AGAAAUCCUCUCUCCGCUUCACGACGCGGCCACUCCCACCCCUGAGACGCCCACCUGGCGGACUCUGAGGGAGGAUUCGGCUGCGUCUAAUACCACCUCCACCCCUCAUCCCUCACAAUGCGCGGAAAACCACAGGCGGCUGUGCGCGCAGCGUCGGCUCAGCCACCGCAGCUCCUCCCCUGGGAUGAAAAAGCACUCUGACGUCUUGAAAGCUGGCAGCUCUCUGUUUGGAAAAUCUCUGCCCAGUGAAAAAAUGUACCGACAAGAUUACUAAGUAACACAGUCUUCUGGGAAUGCCUUAUCAAUGCCAGCUAUUUGAAGAGCACCCAAAGUCAAACUAGUGCUCCGCGCUGGCAGUCUGGAAAAGGCAGAUAGUGAAUUAAGAAGUUUAAGAGAAGCAAGUAUGAAUCUCCUGAUCUUGUGAAAUCUCAAGUAGCUAAAAGGAAGUAUUGACAUUUUUUAACUGGAAGUAUUUGAAUUUACCUGGAUUUAAACCUGCAUUGGCAUUUUUUAUAACAUAUAUGAUGACUGAAUUU
rnacentral:lncRNA from 1 species